AGUGAACGCUGGCGGUAGGCCUAACACAUGCAAGUCGAACGGCAGCACAGUAAGAGCUUGCUCUUACGGGUGGCGAGUGGCGGACGGGUGAGGAAUACAUCGGAAUCUACUUUUUCGUGGGGGAUAACGAAGGGAAACUUACGCUAAUACCGCAUACGACCUACGGGUGAAAGCAGGGGAUCUUCGGACCUUGCGCGAUUGAAUGAGCCGAUGUCGGAUUAGCUAGUUGGCGGGGUAAAGGCCCACCAAGGCGACGAUCCGUAGCUGGUCUGAGAGGAUGAUCAGCCACACUGGAACUGAGACACGGUCCAGACUCCUACGGGAGGCAGCAGUGGGGAAUAUUGGACAAUGGGCGCAAGCCUGAUCCAGCCAUACCGCGUGGGUGAAGAAGGCCUUCGGGUUGUAAAGCCCUUUUGUUGGGAAAGAAAAGCAGCAGGUUAAUACCCCGCUGUUCUGACGGUACCCAAAGAAUAAGCACCGGCUAACUUCGUG
rnacentral:rRNA from 1 species